UUUAAUCUUCAGGGCAGGGUGAAAUUCCCGAUCGGUGGUAAAGUCCGCGAGCCGAACUUCGAUUAACAUCAAGUUUAGCAGGAACUAGUGAAAUUCUAGUACCGACAGUAUAGUCUGGAUGGAAGAAGAGCAGA
rnacentral:ncRNA from 2 species